rnacentral:rRNA from 1 species
ACGCUCGACACCUACGGAGGCAGCAGUGGGGAAUAUUGCACAAUGGGGGAAACCCUGAUGCAGCGACGCCGCGUGAGCGAAGAAGUAUUUCGGUAUGUAAAGCUCUAUCAGCAGGAAAGAAGAAAGACGGUACCUGACUAAGAAGCCCCGGCUAACUACGUGCCAGCAGCCGCGGUAAUCUGAGCGGGCUGGCAAGGC